rnacentral:misc_RNA from 1 species
AAGUCGUAACAAGGUAUCCGUAGGUGAACCUGCGGAUGGAUCAUUAUCAAUGUCCUUCUCGACGCCUGUGAACCGGUGAGCUUCGGCUCAAAUUGUUUUACCACUCCAUCUAAAGCCAAUCGAAGCCGUAAAGAAUCCACAACUUUAGCAACGGAUCUCUUGGCUCUC